rnacentral:rRNA from 1 species
CAGUCGCCACGGUAAUACGAAGGUCCCGAGCGUUGUUCGGAAUCACUGGGCGUAAAGGGAGCGUAGGCGGCGUGGUAAGUCAGAUGUGAAAUCCCGGGGCUCAACCCCGGAACUGCAUCCGAUACUGCCGUGCUAGAGGAUUGGAGAGGUAGCUGGAAUUCUUGGUGUAGCAGUGAAAUGCGUGGAGAUCAAGAGGAACACUCGUGGCGAAAGCGAGCUACUGGACAAUAUCUGACGCUGAGGCUCGAAGGCCAGGGUAGCGAAAGGGAUUAGAUACCCGUGUAGUCCCUGUCUCUUAUAC